rnacentral:tRNA from 1 species
GUCGUCGGGGCCGAGUGGUUAAGGCGACAGACUUGAAAUCUGUUGGGCUCUACCUGCACAGAUUCGAAUCCUGUCGGUGACG